AUUGAACGCUGGCGGCAGGCCUAACACAUGCAAGUCGAACGGUAACAGGAAGCAGCUUGCUGCUUUGCUGACGAGUGGCGGACGGGUGAGUAAUGUCUGGGAAACUGCCUGAUGGAGGGGGAUAACUACUGGAAACGGUAGUUAAUACCGCAUAACGUCGCAAGACCAAAGAGGGGGACCUUAGGGCCUCUUGCCAUCGGAUGUGCCCAGAUGGGAUUAGCUAGUAGGUGGGGUAACGGCUCACCUAGGCGACGAUCCCUAGCUGGUCUGAGAGGAUGACCAGCCACACUGGAACUGAGACACGGUCCAGACUCCUACGGGAGGCAGCAGUGGGGAAUAUUGCACAAUGGGCGCAAGCCUGAUGCAGCCAUGCCGCGUGUAUGAAGAAGGCCUUCGGGUUGUAAAGUACUUUCAGCGGGGAGGAAGGGAGUAAAGUUAAUACCUUUGCUCAUUGACGUUACCCGCAGAAGAAGCACCGGCUAACUCCGUG
rnacentral:rRNA from 1 species